rnacentral:tRNA from 1 species
GGGGUAUAGUUAGCUCAGUGGUAGAGCAUUUGACUGCAGAUCAAGAGGUCCCCAGUUCAACUCUGGGUGCCCCC